AACAUACAUCAAUGCACAAAGUAAACAAAAAGUUAGCCAUUACUAAAAAUAGUGCAGAGUAAGUUUCCCGCAAAUUAUCUAAUUUUUAAGUGGACGCAGUUUUCUAAAAAUAAUUUUCUCAUCACCGAUCAAAAUGGUCAACCCAUCCAGAAGCUUUUAAGCACAGACGAUACCACCUAGUACAGUACAGUAUGAUACAUAAUUUCCUUUGAAGAAGGCCAAGACUCAAGGCCGAAACGUCGGACAUAAUGUAAACAAUAUUGUUACAUUCUUAUUUAUAUUAGACUGAAAAGCCAACAAA